rnacentral:rRNA from 1 species
AUGAACGCUGGCGGCGUGCCUAAUACAUGCAAGUCGAGCGAACAGACGAGGAGCUUGCUCCUCUGACGUUAGCGGCGGACGGGUGAGUAACACGUGGAUAACCUACCUAUAAGACUGGGAUAACUUCGGGAAACCGGAGCUAAUACCGGAUAAUAUAUUGAACCGCAUGGUUCAAUAGUGAAAGACGGUUUUGCUGUCACUUAUAGAUGGAUCCGCGCCGCAUUAGCUAGUUGGUAAGGUAACGGCUUACCAAGGCAACGAUGCGUAGCCGACCUGAGAGGGUGAUCGGCCACACUGGAACUGAGACACGGUCCAGACUCCUACGGGAGGCAGCAGUAGGGAAUCUUCCGCAAUGGGCGAAAGCCUGACGGAGCAACGCCGCGUGAGUGAUGAAGGUCUUCGGAUCGUAAAACUCUGUUAUUAGGGAAGAACAAAUGUGUAAGUAACUAUGCACGUCUUGGCGGUACCUAAUCAGAAAGCCACGGCUAACUACGUG